ACCUGUAAGUAAGAGGAACAGCAGGAUUUGGUUAUUAAAUCAUUCUCAUUUAGUGUAGUUGUCUUUUCAUAUCAUUACUAAUGCAACACUUUUAAAAACCAUGUAGGUACCUCAACAAUACUGCAUUUGCAUCAUUUAACCUAAGUAGCAAUAAAGAUUAUGUUUUAUAUAUUAAUCUACCUUAAUUGGUUUCAAUUGCAGGAGCUGAUGUCUUAUUCCAAGGUAAAUAUAUUUCAUUCCUUUAAUUUUCUUCAUGGCAUGUUUAUUAAAUAAUUAUCUGUUUCAGUUUUUCUUUCACCAGUCAAUUUUUCUGCUUGCUCAGUCUCUCUGUAUUUUAGGAUCUGCUCGUGAACCCCACGUUUGACAGCGAAGAAGAGAUGGAGGCUUUUUGCAGUAGUACUGAGCUGUGGAGUACUUGAGUGGUGCAGAAGAUUCUGUCUUGUGUUCAGACUAAACAUUCCUAUACACCCACAUAUAAGGAUAUUUUUAAUUUUGGUGAAUUUUAUGUAAUGUAUGUAGAAUGAAUUCUGGUUAUACUGUUUGAUAUGUUGCCUCACAGAUUUUUAGGUAUUAAUAAUUUUGAAAAUGGGCAAAACACAUCUUUUGAAAAAGUAUAUAAAUCCAUAGAGGUAAUGUACUAUUAUCCCACCCCUAGCAUUUAUAGAACCAAGUGAUCUCUUAUUUGGUGAGAUCCCAUUGGUGUUCACAUGGUUACUUGGGAAUAAAUCCCCAUGAUCCCAUAGCAAUUACGUUGUGGAGGAUUUUCUUGUUCUGGCAAACUAUUAAAAUUUACCACCAGAGGGCUUGUUCCCACAUUGAAACAAUAUGGCUCAUAUUUAAAGCACUCUGGAGUAGAUCCUGCCUGAAAACCUAUUUAUAUUGAUUCACAAUUAUGUGGUACUUCUAUGUAUUACAUGUAUGAAUUGGAUUACUAGGGGAUCAUAAGAUUUUUGCCAGUCUAGUUCUCUUCAUUAAAAUAACGCCCAUAUUGAUGCUUCCUGUAUGCAGAAAAUAGUCCCCCCCCCCCACACCCAUAAUUACUCCAAUUCUCAUACACAACAGUAUCUGAACAAAUUAUUUUUAUCCCUCAAGGCUUAAUACCUGCUUUUCAUAAAAAUGUAGAUUCAAACUUGAAUUUGGCUAUAAAUGUAACCUUCUGUUUGUUAGCUUGGCUAUUUUGUGCCUUAAACUAUGAUUUUUUUCUAAUUUAAAUCUAUAGCAGAUAACUUGCACUGAAUGAGCUCAAAUAUUAGAAAUGAAAGAAUAUGCACAUUUACUGAAUAUACAUAUGAAAUUCUGACCCUAUUCUUUUUUUGAAGUCUCAGUGCCUUAACAUGGUAUAUAUGGACACGAUCAUAUUUCUGAUUAUUUCACUUACUCUUUUCUGUUGGUUUUAGGGCUAUGAAAUACCUUCUGAAAUGUCUCCAGAUUAUACCAAAUGAUGUUACCUACAGAAUUAUUUCAAAACAGUACUUGCCAUUUUGUUUUCAACUCUUUUCCUAUUAAAUCCAGUGUUCAUGUUUAACUUCCAAUGCGUAUUAUAAUGAAAUGUUUACCUCAGGUGAAAAUCUUUGCAGUUAAGCCUCUACUGCUUUAAGAAUAUAGGUUUUGUUGGGCUCAAAGUAUAUAACCAUGUAGCUUAAUUGCUCAUUUAUUUUUUAAAAGUUCUUCUGCUUUAGGUUUCACUAUCUUGAAUCACUGAAUCCACAUCCAGUGUAUACUAUUAAUCCCUCUUAGGUAGAUAGGAUGUAUGGAUACAAUUGCAAUAUAAAACACAUUAAAACUUUACGAUGAUUGUCUUCUGGAAAUGAAUCCUGUCUCACUAGUACUUCUCAGUAUCCACUUUGACAACUUGACCAUACUCCAGAAAACAAGACGGCUUUGGUGUUACCAUUUUUAUUGCUAGCUGCUAAGGAAGGACUAAUAAACAGAUUUAAAUAUUAACACUCACAAUAAUUUACUAGAAGUUUUUCAAGAACUCUAAAUUAUGUUGUCACGUAGUUAUUAAUGUGUUAAUUUUAAAACCUCUUACAUUUUUUCUAUUUGGCACAGCUCUUCAGAGGCAGUCCCUGGCCCGUUCCCUAGAAUAUGCUUCAGGUGUGGGUCCCACAUUAACAUCUUUCACAGUGAAGACUGAUGCAAAGAUCCCAGCACAGGAAGCAGCAAUGCAAGAUAUCCACCACUGAAAAUGGCAAAAAUUACAGAGUAACUCAUAAGUAAUGGAAAGGUUGUAGCCAGAGGACACAGCAGAUUAGUGAGCCCACAAAGAAUGAGGCUUGCUGGUAGAUGCUCCUACUGCUUGGCUGUGGCCUCAUUUGUCAGAUUUCUUAUCUGGGUGGUAAGUGUUCCAUCCAUUCAUAUUUUCAAUUCCAUCAUUCUCAAGAUUCAACACCAAAUUCCUGGCAUCUCUCAUUCUCCCACAUGUUUCAAAAAUUGCCCAGUAUGUUAUAUGGUAAAUUCCUGAAUGCUACAAUGAAGCAUCUUUUCAUUAUUAUUAAACUGUUAUCCCCCCCGCUUUCCCCGCCCACUUCAGCUCCAUAUUCAAUUGACUGAAGCCCAGUACAUUUAAUUAUAUGAAUGUUCAGUACUACACUUUUGCUUUAUUUUUGUUAGGCAUAUAAAGUUUUAUUUCCAUCUGAUGCAUUCAUAUCUGAGAAUUUUGAACAUUCCUUGUAUGAUUAAACUGUAUAGUUAUUCAUAGGCUCCGGCCAAUAAUUUUAUGGCAAAAUGCAUUGCUAAAUGAAAUUGGAGUUUAGCAUCUGGAGUAAUAACUCCAGUAAUAACUUUCUUCAUCCCCCAAAUUGCCCUUUGUUAAGUUCUCUUGCUACAUAAGCUGCUUGAUUUUGCCUCAAAAAUAUCCAUCAUUAGGUGGAAGGUGGAUUUGGCUCUGACACCUCAGUUUCUUAACCCCUAUUCUGCAUCAGUGUUUUCAAGCAAAAUUUAAAGGAUUGGUUUAAAUUGAAAAUGAAUAAUAAAGUCAUUUUAACUAUUGGUUUAUCUUUUAAGAAAAAUAUGUAAUAAAGAUGGAGUUUUGUACUGAGAUUUUUUUUAAUGCUAAUAAAAUUUAAGAACAUAUUUUGUUGUUGUUAAGGUGGAUUUCCAAAACUAUACAUAAUUACAGAAGCACACCUUUGAAUAAAAUGUCUUGAAAGUUAAGCAUAACCACAUUUCAUAGAACUAUA